rnacentral:rRNA from 1 species
GAUGAACGCUGGCGGCGUGCCUAAUACAUGCAAGUCGAGCGAACGGACGAGAAGCUUGCUUCUCUGAUGUUAGCGGCGGACGGGUGAGUAACACGUGGAUAACCUACCUAUAAGACUGGGAUAACUUCGGGAAACCGGAGCUAAUACCGGAUGAUAUUUUGAACCUCAUGGUUCAAAAGUGAAAGACGGUCUUGCUGUCACUUAUAGAUGGAUCCGCGCUGCAUUAGCUAGUUGGUAAGGUAACGGCUUACCAAGGCAACGAUGCAUAGCCGACCUGAGAGGGUGAUCGCGCACACUGGAACUGAGACACGGUCCAGACUCCUACGGGAGGCAGCAGUAGGGAAUCCUCCGCGAUGGGCGAAAGGCUGACGGAGCAACGCCGCGUGAGUGAUGAAGGUCUUCGGAUCGUAAAGCUCUGUUAUUAGGGAAGAACAUAUGUGUAAGUAACUGUGCACAUCUUGACGGUACCUAAUCAGAAAGCCACGGCUAACUACGUG